UAGUGAACCAGUACCGUGAGGGAAAGGUGAAAAGAACCGCGGGAGCGGAGUGAAAGAGAACCUGAAACCGUAUGCCUACAAGAAGUCAGAGCCCGUUAAGGGGUGAUGGCGUGCCUUUUGUAGAAUGAACCGGCGAGUUGCGACAGACUGCGAGGUUAAGGAGGAAAGACCGGAGCCGAAGCGAAAGCGAGUCUUAAUAGGGCGAAAGUAGGAUGUUGCAGACCCGAAACCGGGUGAUCUAGCCAUGAGCAGGUUGAAGUUGAGGUGAAACUCAAUGGAGGACCGAACCGACUACCUUUGAAAAGUUAGCGGAUGACUUGUGGCUAGGGGAGAAAUUCCAAUCGAACCCGGAGAUAGCUGGUUCUCCCCGAAAUAGCUUUAGGGCUAGCGUCGGAAAGAACCUUAGUGAAGGUAGAGCACUGAAUGUGUGAUGGCCCCAUCCCGGGGUACUGAAUACAAUCAAACUGCGAAUGUCAUUAAGGAUGUCCGGCAGUCAGACUGUGAGUGAUAAGGUCCAUGGUCAAGAGGGAAACAGCCCAGACCGCCAGUUAAGGUCCCAAAAUACAGGCUAAGUGGAAAAGGAUGUGGGGAUGCCCAGACAACUAGGAGGUUGGCUCAGAAGCAGCCAUCCUUUAAAGAGUGCGUAACAGCUCACUAGUCGAGUGACCCUGCGCCGAAAAUGUACCGGGGCUAAGCCUGAUACCGAAACUGCGGAUUGUAGGAAACUAUAGUGGUAGGGGAGCGUUGUAUACGAGUAGAAGCCGUACCGUGAGGAGCGGUGGAUUGUAUAGAAGUGAGAAUGCCGGUGUGAGUAGCGAGAUGUAGGUGAGAAUCCUACACACCGAAAGCCCAAGGAUUCCAGGGGAAGGUUCGUCCGCCCUGGGUAAGUCGGGACCUAACGCGAGGCCGAAAGGCGUAGUGGAUGGAAAGCAGGCGAAAGAUUCCUGCACCCGUAUAUGGAGCGAAGGAGUGACGGAGACGGAUAGUGUGACCCUCUUAAUGGAUUGAGGGCGAAGCGAAGCGGCUGGUUACCAGGCAAAUCCGGUAACCAAAAGGCUAGAGCGUGACAGGUAAGCGAAAUCCAAGGAAAGUAGCGAAGCACAUGAUGACGGCUUCCAGGAAAAGCUUCUGGCAAUGCAUAUGCGGCCCGUACCAAAACCGACACAGGUGGGCAGGGAGAGAAUCCCGAGGUGAGCGAGAGAACUGUUGCCAAGGAACUCGGCAAAAUGACUCCGUAAGUUAGCGAGAAGGAGUGCUUAAGCAAUUAAGCCGCAGUGAAGAGGCCCAAGCGACUGUUUAACUAAAACACAGCUCUCUGCGAAGUCGCAAGACGAAGUAUAGGGGGUGACACCUGCCCGGUGCUGGAAGGUUAAGAGGAUCUGUUAAGAGCGAUCUGAAGCAGUGAUCCGAAGCCCCAGUGAACGGCGGCCGUAACUAUAACGGUCCUAAGGUAGCGAAAUUCCUUGUCAGGUAAGUUCUGACCCGCACGAAAGGUGUAACGAUUUGGG
rnacentral:rRNA from 1 species